GCAAGGUUACCCGCCGAAUUUAAGCAUAUUAUUAAGCGGAGGAAAAGAAACUAACAAGGAUUCCCUCAGUAACGGCGAGUGAAGCGGGAAGAGCCCAGCAUGAAAAUCUGUUUGUUUUCAGUAACGGACAGAAUUGUAGUCUAAAGAAGCAAGUGCCAGGUGUGCGUCUCGGCUCGAGUCCUUUGGAAGAAGGCAUCCAUAGAGGGUGAGAGUCCCAUAUGUGGCUGAGAUGGCGCAGCGUACGGUCUGUUUUCGAAGAGUCGAGUUGCUUGGGACUGCAGCUCAAAGUUGGAGGUAAAUUCCUUCAAAGGCUAAAUAAUGGCGAGAGACCGAUAGCGAACAAGUACCGUGAGGGAAAGAUGAAAAGAACUCUGAAAAGAGAGUCAAAAGCACUUGAAAUCGUUGAGGGGUAACCGAGCA
rnacentral:rRNA from 1 species